rnacentral:lncRNA from 1 species
UUGUGCUCUUGAACCCCAUUCUAAUAUGAAGAAGUUAGAGAUAAGCGGAUAUCGAGGAUCCAAAUUUCCAGAUUGGAUGAUGGAGUUGCGUCUACCAAACCUAGUGGAGAUCUCACUAGAAUCGUGCAUGAAUUGUGAACAUCUUCCUCCUUUUGGGAAACUGCGGUUUCUUAAGCAUCUUCAAUUGAAGAGAAUGGACACUGUGAAGUGUAUUGGCAGUGAGAUGCAUGGAGAUGGAGAGAAUCCAUUUCCAUCAUUAGAGAGGCUGACUUUGGGUCCAAUGAUGAACUUAGAGGAGUGGGAAACAAAUAGCAUGGGUGGAAGGGAAAUUUUCACUUGCCUUGAUGAAUUACAGAUCAGAAAAUGCCCCAAGCUGGUCGAGUUACCAAUUAUUCCGUCGGUGAAAUAUUUAACGAUUGAGGACUGCGCUGUAACUUUGCUGAGGUCAGUUGUGAAUUUCACUUCUAUUACCUCCCUUCGAAUUGAGGGCUUCGAUGAAUUGGCAGUUCUUCCUGAUGGACUGUUGCAAAACCAUACGUGUCUUCAAUCCUUGACAUUUGGGAGUAUGGGAAGCCUUAGGUCGCUGUCAAAUCAGCUAAAUAACCUAUCUUCUCUAAAGAGUUUGGGUUUUUUGUUUUGUGAUAAACUUGAAAGCUUGCCAGAAGGUGUCCAGAACCUCAAUUCCUUGGAGAUGUUAGGUAUUUGUGCAAUGAUGCCAAAAAUGACUACACUGCCUGGUUUACCUUCGUCUCUUGCUGAGUUGCACAUUGUAGGUUGUCUAGAACUCACCUCUAUAUCCGAGGGGCUGCAACAUCUGACAGCACUCAAGGACUUGUAUCUUGCUGGAUGUGUGAAGUUAAAUUCCUUGCCAGAGAAUAUCCAACAUCUCACAUCCCUUUCAAGAUUGCGUAUCCAUGGAUGCUCUAAUUUGAUGUCUUUGCCAGAAGGCAUAAGGAAUCUCGAAAUGCUCAGAGAGUUCGAAAUUGCAGAUUGUCCAAAUUUGGAGAGACAGUGCAAGAGAGAAAAAGGAAAAGACUGGCCUAAGAUAGCUCACAUCCCUACCAUCAUCAUUAAUGCCCAGCUAAUACAGUCCUCGGAGACCUGAAGAAAAUAUGAUUGCUUGGUACGUGUUGUGACUUCAUUUGUCUAAUAUCCUCAUGUAAAAUCUGGAAUAUUUAUUCACCAAGUACUAAUAGCUGUGGUGAUCAAAUAAAAUGUAAAUUGUUUUAAUAUAUAUAUAUUCUUCUUAAAGGCGUUGAAAGCUCACCUACUCUGCUUGCUUGCCUGGGUUAGUCAGUGUUGUUUAGUUCUUCUUCUUUUCCAUAUAUAUCCUGCAGGCAUGAUUCGGAGCCUUUGCAAAUCUUUAGGCAUCGUUUUUGCUGCCUCUUUUUUGUAGCCUUCUCUGAAUCUUGCUCUCUGUUGUUUCAAUCCUCUCGCCUUUCUCGGAAAACCGGAGAUAGCAUUGGAAACAAAUCGCUAUAAGUCUACCGUUCUGUUGAAUUAGAGGUAGACAUACCAGAGGAAGCAAAGCCUGCAUCAGGUUGAAAGACAGAGAUGGCAACUGAAGAGAUCAAAGAAAAGCCAAAAUCAUGGGCCAUGGUUGGUGGAGAUGGACCUCAAAGCUAUACUCAAAAUUCCUCCUAUCAGGUGCAUAUUCUUCCCCUUGUAAUAAUAAUAAUAAUAAUAAUAGCAAUAAUAAAACACUUUGGCUUGUGACGCAAAAUAGCCUUUUUUUUUUUUUUGUACUUCGGUUUUUUUUUUAGUUUUAUUAUUUGAUGUUGAGUUGAUUUGAGUUUCAUGUUAAUAAUUUGUUUUUAUUUGUAUUUUAUAUGGUCAUUACAAUUUUUAAAAACUAUAUUGACAUCAUGAUAAUAUUCCAUUUCAUGAAAAAGGUAUAAUUUGGUUGUUUGUAAAUAAUUGAAUGCCGUUUAAAAAAAAAAUCAAUAUCAAGUAUCAACUCUAGUCUUUCUUUUUAGUUUUUAAUCAUCAAUUUUUUUUCUUUUCAAUUGGAUCCUUCAAAAUUGUGUUGAUUGGAAAAUAAGAUUAAUGGUUUGUUUUAGUUUAAAAAGUUCCUCGCAACUUUAAUUUUUUUUUUCUGCUCAUUUUUUUUUGGUGUAGCUCGCGCCAAAGCGUAAACAACCUAUCGAAUGCAUAUAAUGCAUCUGCUUAUUGCAACAGAAAGGAGUGGUAGAUGCUUCAAAGGAAAAGGUGACUGAAGGCAUCAAAGACAAGCUUGAUUUUAAAAGCCUUGGUUUUGACUCCUCGAAUGACACAUUUCGAAUAGCAGAUUUUGGUUGUUCUGUUGGACCCAAUACAUUUUUUGCUGUGGAAAACAUCAUAGAAGCUGUGGAGCAGAAAUAGCAAGCCCAGUUCCAAAAAUCCCCACCCUUGGAGUUGGAGUUCCAAGUAUUCUUCAACGAUGUCACAACCAAUGAUUUCAACACUCUCUUCAAAACCCUCCAUUCCAAUAGAAAAUACUUUGCUGCUGGAUUGCCCGGUACUUUCUACGGCCGCCUCCUCCCCAAGUCCACAUUGCAUUUCGCGUACUCUUCAUAUUGCUUACAGUGGCUCUCUAAGGUCCCAAAAGAAGUUGUAGACAACAAGUCUCCUGCAUGGAACAAUGGCAGCAUCCAAUGUGAUGGUCUCAAAAAAGAAGUCACCAAGGCAUAUUCAGCUCAGUUCCAGAGUGACAUGAACACCUUUUUGAAUGCUAGAGCACAAGAAAUUGUGGGUGGAGGAUUGAUGGUGAUUAUAAUGGCCGGUCUUCCUGAUGGGAUCUUUAUGUCUCAGGCAGGAGUUGGAAUGUACUAUGAACUUCUCGGAUCAUGCCUCGUCGACAUGGCUAAAUUGGUAAAAUAAUUCUCUCUCUAACUGAUUAGAAGCAAAAUCCUAGUAAGUAUACUCUUUGACAUAUGCAGAUCGUUCUUCUUUGUAGGGAGAGAUUAGUGAAGAAAAGGUGAACUCGUUCAACUUGCCUCUGUACUAUUCUUCUUCUACGGAGAUUGAAGAAAUCAUAAAAGUAAACGAGAAUUUUAGUAUUGAGAUAAUGCACUCAUUGAGUCAUCAGAUUUGGCAAACGUCGAAGAAAUCCAAUAUCGAAGUUUCUGUUUCAGGGGGCAGAGCUGUUUUUCAGGGUCUUCUGGAAGAGCACUUUGCAAGUGAAGUUGUAGAAAAAAUAUUUGAGCAUUUUGCUAAGAAGCUUUGUGACAAUUUCUCUAUCUUCGAUGGCGCAGCCCAUGAACACAUCGACCAUUUCAUCCUGCUCAAGCGUAACGUUAAUUGAAAUCACUCACAGUUAUGUGCUCGCUAUUCCCUUAGUUUGGAAUUUGGAUUCCAUUGUUAUCAAAUAAUGAAGUGUGCAUCUCAUGCUGGAGAUGUUGAACUUCAGAUCAAAUAAUUUGGAUUCCAUUUCUAUGCUAUUUCGAUCUCAUUUAUUUGCUUCAAUUCCUUCUUUCAGAAGGUUAGAACUAAUAUCACGGCUUCACUUUUUGGAAAAGCUUAUGCACUAAACUUUCUCUCAAGGUUCAUGUUCAUUAUAUCAAAUUUGAAACUAUAGAACUGCGAAGACAACGAUAAAAUAUGUGUGUCUGGAUGGAGUGAUAAAUAUUAUAAAUUAAUGAAUUUGAAAGCCAAAACCACUCAUUAGGAAAGAAGACUAAAACUAAUUUAAGAACUUUCAAAUUAUAAAGGCAAAAUGUUUUAGUAUGCUUUCAGGGAGUCUCGAACAAGGAAACUAUAAGAUGCAGCAUGUGUAGAAAAAAAUCUGAUGCUUUUAUAUAUAUAUAUUAAGAUCACAAAUUAUAAUGGUGUUUAGAUAUUUUUAAUUAAUUCGUUUUUUUUAUGAUAUUAGAUAUUUUUAUUAAUAUGAUUAGCUAAAAGUUGUUCUUAUUAUAAACUAAAAGAAUGUCAGAAGAUAUUCUUGUCUCUAGAAUACAAUAAAGGUUCAUUUAUAUAUUUAAUUAAUUUAGUUCAUGCGUUUGUAUUAUACAGUUACUAGUUGUAGGGUGCGUUCCGUUGUGGGCGGCACCUCUAAUUGUUUUUUGCACUAAAAAAAAUUCAAGUCAUGAGAAUUUUUUUUAGUGGUCAUUGGGUUAGUAUCGAAAUCUCCUAACCUGUUUUCUUGUUUAUAUUCAAUUAAAUAAAAUGAAAGUAAAAUUUUUAUUCUUAUAUUUAAUUUAAUUAAAAAAUAAAGUAUCUAUAUAAAAAAAUAAAUUUAAUAAAAAACAACAAAUUAAAAAAAUUCACAAUAACCCAUAUUAUUUUCAAAAUCAGCAAAAAAUCUUAUAGGAAACAAAUGAAAAAAAUUAAUCGAGCCCAAUUUUCAAUAAAUAAAUUUGAAAGAUGAAACUGAAAAAAACAUGAGUUAAAAAAAAUCAUGGAGUAAGUAUCUCAUAUUUAUAUUAAUUAAUUAAUUUAAAUUAAUUAUAAAAUAUAUCUUUUAAAAAAGUUAAAUUUAAUAAAGAAUGGUAAAUAAAAAGAUCUAAGAUAACAUGAGUUAUUUUUAAAAUUAGUAAAAAAUCCUAUAAGAAGUAAGUAAAAAUAUUAAUGGAGUUCAAUCUAUAAUUAAAUAAAUAAUUUAAAACUAAAUUAUCACUAGAAUAGGACCACUAAAAGAAAAAAAAAUUAUUCAACUAAAUUAUUCUAAUUGAAUAAAUAAUCUAAGAAUGGGCCAUAGAAGCCUCAUUGUUCUAAGAGGUUGGAUACUUGACCAAAUAGGCCCACUAAAACCCAUUAACAGAUUCAUUAGAGCCACCAAAGAAUAAAUAACUCCUUAAGGUCCACAAAAAGACAGUGAAAUGGCUGGCAGCAGCAGCCAUCAUCAAUAAUUCACAUACGUAGUCUACUUGCCUACGGGUUUUUUCACAAACAAGGAUCUCUCCCUCCCUCCCUGGCUUAGCUCUCUCCCCUGUCCUCUCUUCACCACCAUUUCUUGCUGUACUUCCAUUUCCUACUUGCUUCUUUUUGCUUAUUAAGACCCACAAUUUAAAUUUCCGGCAAAAAGAAAACAAAAAAAAGCUAUGGCUGAGGCAACUAUUUCUGCACUUGUUAGCACCGUCUUGGGGAACUUGAACACACUUGUACUUGAAGAGCUUGGACUUGUUUUUGGCAUCCAGACCGAGUUUGAGAAACUCAAGCGCACCUUCAUGACGGUUCAAGCUGUCCUCAAGGAUGCUGAGGAGAAGCAGUGGAAAGAUGAGGCAAUCAGGAUUUGGCUGACAGACCUCAAAGAUGCUGCCUAUGAUGCUGAUGAUGUGCUGGAUGAGUUCGCUAUUGAAGCUCAGAGGCGCAGACAGCGAGGGGGUCUUAAAAACCGAGUAAGGUCUUUGUUUUCUCUUCAUCAGAAUCCACUUGUUUUUCGAUUGAAAAUGGCUCAUAAGGUAAAGAAUGUAAGAGAAAAGCUUGAUUCCAUUGCCAAUGAGAAAAAUAAGUUCAGACUAACAGAGGGAGUUGGAGAGAACGAAGCUGAUAGCUUCGAUUGGCGGAUAACUUGCUCGCUUGUUAACGAAUCAGAAAUCUAUGGAAGAGACAAGGAAAAAGAAGAGCUGAUCAGUUUGUUGCUCGCCAAUUCAGAUGACCUCUCUGUCUGUGCAGUAUGUGGCAUGGGGGGGCUGGGGAAGACAGCACUUGCUCAAUUUGUCUACAACGAUGCAAGUGUAAAAGGGCAUUUUGAUUUGAGUAUCUGGGUUUGCGUAUCUGUUGAUUUCGACAUAAGGAGACUAUCAAGAGCUAUCAUAGAGUCCAUUGAAGGCAACCCUUGUACCAUUCAAGAGAUGGACACUUUGCAACGACGCCUCCAAGAAAAGUUGAUUGGAAGGAGGUUUUUGCUUGUGUUGGAUGAUGUUUGGGAUCAUUACCAUGAAAAAUGGAAUGCAUUGAAAGAUGCUUUGAGAGUUGGAGCUAGAGGAUGUGCUAUUCUAAUAACAACUCGUCUAAAGCAGGUUGCUGAUAAAAUGGCUACUAUUCCUGUUCACCUAAUGGGAAGAUUGUCGGAAGAUGAUUCUUGGCUUCUGUUUGAGCGACUUGCAUUUGGGAUGAGAAGAAGGGAGGAUUAUGUGCACUUAGAAAGUAUUGGAAAGGCGAUAGUCAAUAAGUGCAGUGGCGUUCCUUUAGCUCUAAAGGCAUUGGGGAGCUUGAUGCGCUUCAAGAGAAAUGAACGAGAGUGGUUAUCUGUCAAAGAAAGUGAGAUUUGGAAUCUACCAGACGAAGGUGGCACAAUUUUACCUGCCUUGAAGUUAAGUUAUAACAAUUUGCCACCACAUUUGAAACAAUGCUUUGGAUUUUGCUGUAUGUUUCCGAAGGAUUAUGUCAUGAAGAAAGACGAGUUAGUAAAGCUAUGGAUGGCCAAUGGAUUUAUUGAUCCUGCAGGGCAAAUGGAUUUGCAUGAGACAGGUUACGAGAUUUUUGAUGACUUGGUUGGGAGAUCAUUUUUUCAGGAGUUCAAGGAGGAUGGCUUCGGAAACAUAACUUGCAAAAUGCAUGAUCUUAUCCAUGAUCUUGCAAAAUCAGUUAUGAUAGAAGAAUGCUAUUUGAUCGAGAAGAAUAGGAGACCUAGAAUUCCUAAGACAGUUCGUCACAUGACUUUUCUUGGUAGAAGUCUUUGUUAUUAUGACAAGGACCUUGUCAAAGUGCAAUCAUUGCGGUCUCUGAUAUCCAUUCAGGUCGAUUAUUACCGGCGUGGUGCUCUUUUAUUCAAGGUGUCUUCACAAAAGAAACUACGGACGUUGAGUUUAAGCAAUUUCUGGUUUGUGAAAUUUCCGGAGCCGAUUGGUAAUUUGCAACAUCUAAGAUAUCUAGACGUCUCUUGUUCUCUUAUCCAAAAACUGCCUGAAUCAAUCAGCUCUCUUCAAAACUUGCAGACCCUAAAUUUGAGUUACUGCCCUCUGCUUUAUAUGCUUCCAAAAAGGAUGAAGGACAUGAAAAGUCUCAUGUAUCUUGACCUCACACGUUGUGAUGCGCUUCAAUGUAUGCCUUCAGGGAUGGGACAACUGGCUUGUCUGCGAAAGCUAGGUAUGUUCAUUGUGGGUAAAGAGGCUGGUCAUCACAUAGGGGAGCUGCAAAGACUGAAUUACAUUGGGGGUGAUUUGAGCAUCAAGGAUUUAGGUAACGUCCAAGGUUUUACAGAUGCACAAAAUGCUAAUUUGAUGAGGAAGACAAAUCUUCAAUCACUGAGUUUGUCUUGGCGAGAAGACAAAAACAGCAUAAUCAGUGAGGCAAACAGUGAAGAUGUUCUUUGUGCUCUUGAACCCCAUUCUCAUAUGAAGAAGUUAGAGAUAAGCGGAUAUCGAGGAUCCAAAUUUCCAGAUUGGAUGAUGGAGUUGCGUCUACCAAACCUAGUGGAGAUCUCACUAGAAUCGUGCAUGAAUUGUGAACAUCUUCCUCCUUUUGGGAAACUGCGGUUUCUUAAGCAUCUUCAAUUGAAGAGAAUGGACACUGUGAAGUGUAUUGGCAGUGAGAUGUAUGGAGAGGGAGAGAAUCC